rnacentral:rRNA from 1 species
UACAGAGGGGGCAAGCGUUGUUCGGAAUUACUGGGCGUAAAGGGCGCGUAGGCGGCCCGCUAAGUCGAACGUGAAAUCCCCGGGCUCAACCCGGGAACUGCGUCCGAUACUGGAAGGCUUGAAUCCGGGAGAGGGAUGCGGAAUUCCAGGUGUAGCGGUGAAAUGCGUAGAUAUCUGGAGGAACACCGGUGGCGAAGGCGGCAUCCUGGACCGGCAUUGACGCUGAGGCGCGAAAGCCAGGGGAGCAAAGCGGG